AUUGAACGCUGGCGGCAGGCCUAACACAUGCAAGUCGAGCGGAUGAAGGGAGCUUGCUCCUGGAUUCAGCGGCGGACGGGUGAGUAAUGCCUAGGAAUCUGCCUGGUAGUGGGGGAUAACGUCCGGAAACGGGCGCUAAUACCGCAUACGUCCUGAGGGAGAAAGUGGGGGAUCUUCGGACCUCACGCUAUCAGAUGAGCCUAGGUCGGAUUAGCUAGUUGGUGGGGUAAAGGCCUACCAAGGCGACGAUCCGUAACUGGUCUGAGAGGAUGAUCAGUCACACUGGAACUGGGACACGGUCCAGACUACUAAGGGACGCAGCAGUGGGGAAUAUUGGACAAUGGGCGAAAUCCUGAUCCAGCCAUGCCGCGUGUGUGAAGAAGGUCUUCGGAUUGUAAAGCACUUUAAGUUGGGAAGAAGGGCAGUAAGUUAAUACCUUGCUGUUUUGACGUUACCAACAGAAUAAGCACCGGCUAACUUCGUG
rnacentral:rRNA from 1 species